AACGACGUACUCACCAAACCAAUAAUCCAAGAGUACCAACUGAUUCGAUUUCAACCAAUAAUAAAACCACAAAGCAGGAACAAAAUCGAUGAAUCCCCAAAGCUCGAUCCCAGCGACAGAAUACAAAAUUAGACAAACUCAAAAAACCCCAAUGCGUAGUAUCGAAAAUGAACCGCGAAAAAGACGAACCCAAAGCCUCAGAAAUGUAGCAGAAAGACUAAAAAAAAUGUGGCUUAAACUCCCUGAUGUGUGUGUAUUGAUGUAUGAAGAAAAGGGUAUGUCUAUUCAAUCAUGUUGCUGGGUGGAAAAUUUUGUGUAUGGGUGGGAAGGUCUUGUAUGCAUAUGGUUUCCCCUUAUUUCAUUCCAUGAAGAUCUAUGGAGGUCCCUCCAUUUCUAUGAGAAGAAGGUGUUUAUAUAUUGUAUAUGAUAAAAUGGUCAGGGACAAGGAAU
rnacentral:lncRNA from 1 species